UGGUGGAGUGAUUUGUCUGGUUUAUUCCGAUAACGAACGAGACUCUGGCCUACUAACUAGCGCAUGAAUACUCUUUGUUUGUUGCGCUUCUUAGAGGGACAAGCAGUGCUCAGCUGCGUGAGAAAGAGCAAUAACA
rnacentral:rRNA from 1 species